CUGGGCUGAGCGCAGGGAGCUGCUUGGCAGUGCCAGAGCCCAGGCCCCAGAGCCCUGCUGGAGAGGAGGCAGACUGAGGCAGCAGGCCCCGCCAGCAGGCGAAGCAGGGAGAUGUCAGACUGCUACACGGAGCUGGAGAAGGCAGUCAUUGUCCUGGUGGAAAACUUCUACAAAUAUGUGUCUAAGUACAGCCUGGUCAAGAACAAGAUCAGCAAGAGCAGCUUCCGCGAGAUGCUCCAGAAAGAGCUGAACCACAUGCUGACACAGGGAACCGGAAGGCUGCGGAUAAGCUCAUCCAGAACCUGGAUGCCAAUCAUGAUGGGCGCAUCAGCUUCGAUGAGUACUGGACCUUGAUAGGCGGCAUCACCGGCCCCAUCGCCAAACUCAUCCAUGAGCAGGAGCAGCAGAGCAGCAGCUAGAGACCCCUUUGGCCACACCUUCCAGGCACUGGCCUGAUGCCCCGCCCUGGUGCUCUCCCCAGGCUCCCUCCUCAGCCUCCUGCCCACCCAGGGCCCUUUACUCUCUUCUCCCUCCAGACCUUCCUCUGACCCUUGCUGAACUGGGGUCCCUUUGUGAGUGUCUCAGUCUAGAGGUACCUCCCUCCCUGGGGGGUCUCAGCUCCUGGAGUCGCAGGCCCUUGGGGCCCCUCUGUGAGAUCUCAAUGCUGUCUGGGGACCCUAAGAGUUUUCUCACCUGUUCAGUCUCAUCUAACCUUCCAAUGUCUGAUGUUCCUGCCAAAUUCCUGCCUGAUUCUGGGUCCGUCCUGACCUCCAAAGGUCAGCUUGGUGCUUGAGGUCUCCCUGCUCUUGGUGGCAGUGGUAGCAGCAACAGCAGCAGCAGCAGCAGCAGCAGCAGCAGAGACCUCUCCACUUUCCCUUAGCCCCUCUGCUGGGUAGAGAGGCACUUUCAGGGACUUCCCUCCAGCUGCCUCUUCAUCUGGGAAUGAGCUAAGCAAGGCUGAGCCUCCUCCUGUUGCUUGAAAUAAUGAUGAUAUAAAGGCUGGAUUUGGAGUUUGUAUCCCCUGGUCCCUCUGGGAUGCUCAUUAAAACCUUCCCACUCCU
rnacentral:lncRNA from 1 species